GAUGGUUUGGCCGAGUGGUCUAAGGUGCCAGAUUUAGGCUCUGGUCUAAAAGGGCGUGGGUUCAAAUCCCACAGCCGUCA
rfam:Ipomoea nil DNA, scaffold: scaffold2805, cultivar: Tokyo-kokei standard.